CCUACGGGAGGCAGCAGUGAGGAAUAUUGGUCAAUGGGCGCGAGCCUGAACCAGCCAAGUAGCGUGAAGGAUGACUGCCCUACGGGUUGUAAACUUCUUUUAUAAAGGAAUAAAGUGAGGCACGUGUGCCUUUUUGUAUGUACCUUAUGAAUAAGGAUCGGCUAACUCCGUGCCAGCAGCCGCGGUAAUACGGAGGAUCCGGGCGUUAUCCGGAUUUAUUGGGUUUAAAGGGAGCGUAGAUGGGUUGUUAAGUUAGUUGUGAAAGUUUGAGGCUCAACCGUAAAAUUGCAAUUGAUACUGGCAGCCUUGAGUACAGUUGAGGUAGGCGGAAUGCGUGGUGUAGCGGUGAAAUGCUUAGAGAUCACGAAGAACUCCGAUUGCGAAGGCAGCUUACUAAGCUGCCACUGACAUUGAUGCUCGAAAGUGUGGGUAUCAAACAGGAUUAGAUACCCGAGUAGUC
rnacentral:rRNA from 1 species